UGGGGAAUAUUGCACAAUGGGGGAAACCCUGAUGCAGCCAUGCCGCGUGUGUGAAGAAGGCCUUCGGGUUGUAAAGCACUUUCAGCGAGGAGGAAAGGUGGCUAGCUAAUACCUAGUUGCUGUGACGUUACUCGCAGAAGAAGCACCGGCUAACUCCGUGCCAGCAGCCGCGGUAAUACGGAGGGUGCAAGCGUUAAUCGGAAUUACUGGGCGUAAAGCGCACGCAGGCGGUCAGAUAAGUCAGAUGUGAAAGCCCCGGGCUCAACCUGGGAACUGCAUUUGAAACUGUCUGACUAGAGUCUUGUAGAGGGGGGUAGAAUUCCAGGUGUAGCGGUGAAAUGCGUAGAGAUCUGGAGGAAUACCGGUGGCGAAGGCGGCCCCCUGGACAAAGACUGACGCUCAGGUGCGAAAGCGUGGGGAGCAAACAGG
rnacentral:rRNA from 1 species